rnacentral:lncRNA from 7 species
AGAUGAGGCUGGAGAUAAGGACACAACAUUGAAAAACUGAGAAACAGCUCAAGGAAAUAACUACCCAAAACACCAGAAGAGGCCAAAGAAAGACUUGAUUGCCACUCAGCUCCAGGAUGCCAACUCCUGAAUCUGGCUUAAAUGAGAUCUCACUGAAGGCAGAAAGAAUUCUCCACUCAGCUCCGGUGCAGAUCCUGAAAAUCCUCCUGGGUUGUGGGAAGGUUAACCAGAGCACUGUUCUGAGCCCUGUGCAUUUUAGACAAUGCUGUUUAAUGAUACUAAAGUCUGAGGAGGUAUCUGCUGUUUCCUGAUAUCUCUGUCUAUGUGAAGCCUAGAAAGUCUUGUUAGUGCAGAACUUUGUUAAUACACAUUCCUGAACAUUCAAGUCUAUGUGGUGAAACAAAGGCAAGUUUAAAAUUGUCCUGUGCUUCAAUAAAUGUUUUCC